rnacentral:rRNA from 1 species
UACGUAGGGUGCAAGCGUUAUUCGGAAUUACUGGGCGUAAAGCGCGCGCAGGCGGUUUUUCAAGUCUGGCGUGAAAUCCCCGGGCUUAACCUGGGAAUUGCGUUGGAGACUGCAAGGCUGGAGUCUGGCAGAGGGGGGUAGAAUUCCACGUGUAGCAGUGAAAUGCGUAGAGAUGUGGAGGAACACCGAUGGCGAAGGCAGCCCCCUGGGUCAAGACUGACGCUCAUGCACGAAAGCGUGGGGAGCAAACAGG